GUGGCCUCAAAUCAGGUAGGAUUACCCGCUGAACUUAAGCAUAUCAAUAAGCGGAGGAAAAGAAACUAACAAGGAUUCCCCUAGUAACGGCGAGUGAAGCGGGAUGAGCUCAAAUUUGUAAUCUGGUGGACUCAGUUCAUCCGAGUUGUAAUCUAUAGAAAAGUUUUCCGCGCCGGACCGUGUCUAAGUCCCUUGGAACAGGGUGUCAGAGAGGGUGAGAAUCCCGUGCUUGAUACGACCACCGGUGCUAUGUGAUACUUUUUCAACGAGUCGAGUUGUUUGGGAAUGCAGCUCAAAAUGGGUGGUAAAUUCCAUCUAAAGCUAAAUAUUGGCGAGAGACCGAUAGCGAACAAGUACCGUGAGGGAAAGAUGAAAAGCACUUUGGAAAGAGAGUUAAACAGUACGUGAAAUUGUUAAAAGGGAAACGAUUGAAGUCAGUCGUGCUCUCUGGGACUCAGCCGGUUCUUCCGGUGUAUUUCCCAGUGAGCGGGUCAACAUCAGUUUAGAUCGCUGGAUAAGGUCAUUAGGAAUGUGGCUCCCUCGGGAGUGUUAUAGCCUAGUGUCGCAUACAGUGGUUUAGACUGAGGAACGCAGCUCGCCUUUAUGGCCGGGGUUCGCCCACGUCCGAGCUUAGGAUGUUGACAUAAUGGCUUUAAACGACCCGUCUUGAAACACGGACCAAGGAGUCUAACAUAUCUGCGAGUAUUUGGGUGUCAAACCCGAAUGCGCAAUGAAAGUGAAUGUAGGAGUGAUCCGCAAGGAGCAACUUCGACCGAUCUGGAUCUUUAGUGAUGGAUUUGAGUAAGAGCAUACAUGUUGGGACCCGAAAGAUGGUGAACUAUGCCUGAAUAGGGCGAAGCCAGGGGAAACUCUGGUGGAGGCUCGUAGCGAUUCUGACGUGCAAAUCGAUCGUCAAAUUUGGGUAUAGGGGCGAAAGACUAAUCGAA
rnacentral:rRNA from 1 species